rnacentral:rRNA from 1 species
GUCGAGAAUCUUCGGCAAUGGGCGCAAGCCUGACCGAGCGACGCCGCGUGGAGGAUGAAGGCCUUCGGGUUGUAAACUCCUGUCGAGGGGGAGGAAGGGGAAACCUUGACCGAUCCCUGGAGGAAGCACGGGCUAAGUUCGUGCCAGCAGCCGCGGUAAGACGAACCGUGCGAACGUUAUUCGGAAUCACUGGGCUUAAAGCGCGUGUAGGCGGAUGGGAACGUCGGUAGUUGAAAGCCCCCGGCUCAACCGGGGAAGUGGUGCCGAAACGACCCGUCUGGAGGGACGUAGGGGGAGCUGGAACUUCCGGUGGAGCGGUGAAAUGCGUUGAGAUCGGAAGGAACGCCCGUGGCGAAAGCGAGCUCCUGGACGUCUGCUGACGCUGAGACGCGAAAGCUAGGGUAGCGAACGGGAUUAGAAACCCUAGUAGUCC